rnacentral:tRNA from 1 species
GUUUCUGUAGUUGAAGUGCAACGUUGGUUUUUCAAGCCAUUAGUCUUGGUUAAAGUCCAGGCGGGAAUU